rnacentral:rRNA from 1 species
CUGCAGCUCAAGUGGUGAUCAUUAUUAUUGGGCCUAAAACGUCCGUAGCCUGUUUAGUAAAUGCCUGGGUAAAUCGUGUAGCUUAACUAUACGAAUUCCGGGUAGACUGCUAAACUUGAGACCGGGAGAGGCUAAAGGUACUCCUGGGGUAGAGGUGAAAUUCUGUAAUCCUAGGGGGACCACCAGUGGCGAAGGCGUCUAGCUAGAACGGGUCUGACGGUGAGGGACGAAGCCCUGGGGCACAAACCGGAUUAGAUACCCGAGUAGUCC